rnacentral:lncRNA from 1 species
UGUGUCCAGCUGUGUCCACCUGUAGCCAGCAGAUUUUAUAAGUUUUAUAUAGAAAUUGCGUUGUGUCCACUUGUGUCCGCCUGUAUCCCCUCAUUUCUAGAAGUUUUAUAUAGUAAUAGCACUGUGUCCAGCUGUGUCCACCUGUAGCCAGCAGAUUUUAUAAGUUUUAUAUAGAAAUUACGUUGUGUCCAGUUGUGUCCGCCUGUAUCCCCUCAUUUCUAGAAGUUUU